CUUGCAACCAAUAAGAGGUCCAGCCUGCCCAGUGACCCUGUUCAACGGCCGCGGUAUCCUAACCGUGCAAAGGUAGCGCAAUCAUUUGUCCUUUAAAUAAGGACUAGUAUGAACGGCACCACGAAAGCUAAACUGUCUCCUUCCCCUAAUCAGUGAAACUAAUCUUCCCGUGAAGAAGCGGGGAUAAUUUUGUAAGACGAGAAGACCCUGUGGAGCUUUAAACACACAACAAUUGUAACGGACCCACCCUCUCCCCUGGAAGAAACCACCCACUCGAACAUUUUGAUUGUAAGUUUUAGGUUGGGGUGACCACGGAGCAGAAAAUAACCUCCACGGUGAAUGGGAUUUCCCCCCUUAAACCCAGGGCCACAACCCUAAGGAUCAAUAAAUUGACACCCAUUGACCCAAUACUUUGACCAACGAAC
rnacentral:rRNA from 1 species